UCGGGAAUUUUGGGCAAUGGGCGAAAGCCUGCCCCAGCAACGCCGCGUGAGGGAUGAAGUAUUUCGGUAUGUAAACCUCGAAAGAAUGGGAAGAAUAAAUGACGGUACCAUUUAUAAGCUCCGGCUAACUACGUGCCAGCAGCCGCGGUAAUACGUAGGGAGCAAGCGUUGUUCGGAUUUACUGGGCGUAAAGGGCGCGUAGGCGGCGCGGUAAGUCACUUGUGAAAUCUCUGAGCUUAACUCAGAACGGCCAAGUGAUACUGCUGUGCUAGAGUGCGGAAGAGGCAACCGGAAUUCUUGGUGUAGCGGUGAAAUGCGUAGAUAUCAAGAGGAACACCCGAGGCGAAGGCGGGUUGCUGGGCCGACACUGACGCUGAUGCGCGAAAGCCAGGGG
rnacentral:rRNA from 1 species